CAGUAGCCGCGGUAAUACAGAGGGUGCAAGCGUUAAUCGGAAUUACUGGGCGUAAAGCGCGCGUAGGUGGUUUGUUAAGUUGGAUGUGAAAUCCCCGGGCUCAACCUGGGAACUGCAUCCAAAACUGGCAGGCUAGAGUAGGGCAGAGGGUGGUGGAAUUUCCUGUGUAGCGGUGAAAUGCGUAGAUAUAGGAAAGAACACCAGUGGCGAAGGCGACCACCUGGGCUCAUACUGACACUGAGGUGCGAAAGCGUGGGGAGCAAACAGGAUUAGAUACCCGAGUAGUCCCUGUCUCUUAUAA
rnacentral:rRNA from 1 species